AUAAUAGCGAUAAUGGGAACGAGUAGGUCUGAGGUUGACCGCUAAAGCGACCCGGAGAAGGUGAAAGCCGGGGCGGCGAGAAGACCGAACAUGGCCCCAGAGCUUCCGGAAGAAACGGCGCCAACCGUGCGCCCGAGUAGAACCGGACGGUUCCAGCCGUUACCUGGAUUAAGAGCAGCCGGCACCUGAUAAGUGAAGACACUUCCUCGACGCGGAAGGGGCCGGGUGAAUUUGGGUGGUACCACGGGAAAUUUCCUCUCGUCCCAUAU
rnacentral:ncRNA from 1 species